ACGGGAGGCAGUAGUGGGGAAUAUUGGACAAUGGGGGGAACCCUGAUCCAGCGACGCCGCGUGAGUGAAGAAGUAUUUCGGUAUGUAAAGCUCUAUCAGCAGGGACGAUAAUGACGGUACCUGACUAAGAAGCUCCGGCUAAAUACGUGCCAGCAGCCGCGGUAAUACGUAUGGAGCAAGCGUUAUCCGGAUUUACUGGGUGUAAAGGGAGCGUAGACGGAACAGCAAGUCUGAUGUGAAAGGCAGGGGCUCAACUCCUGGACUGCAUUGGAAACUGCUGAUCUUGAGUGCCGGAGAGGUAAGCGGAAUUCCUAGUGUAGCGGUGAAAUGCGUAGAUAUUAGGAGGAACACCAAUGGCGAAGGCGGCUUACUGGACGGUAACUGACGUUGAGGCUCGAAAGCGUGGGGAGCAAACAGGAUUAGAUACCCUGGUA
rnacentral:rRNA from 1 species